rnacentral:rRNA from 1 species
AGAGUUUGAUCAUGGCUCAGAUUGAACGCUGGCGGCAGGCCUAACACAUGCAAGUCGAACGGUAACAGGAAGCAGCUUGCUGUUUCGCUGACGAGUGGCGGACGGGUGAGUAAUGUCUGGGAAACUGCCUGAUGGAGGGGGAUAACUACUGGAAACGGUAGCUAAUACCGCAUAACGUCGCAAGACCAAAGAGGGGGACCUUCGGGCCUCUUGCCAUCGGAUGUGCCCAGAUGGGAUUAGCUUGUUGGUGGGGUAACGGCUCACCAAGGCGACGAUCCCUAGCUGGUCUGAGAGGAUGACCAGCCACACUGGAACUGAGACACGGUCCAGACUCCUACGGGAGGCAGCAGUGGGGAAUAUUGCACAAUGGGCGCAAGCCUGAUGCAGCCAUGCCGCGUGUAUGAAGAAGGCCUUCGGGUUGUAAAGUACUUUCAGCGGGGAGGAAGGGAGUAAAGUUAAUACCUUUACUCAUUGACGUUACCCGCAGAAGAAGCACCGGCUAACUCCGUGCCAGCAGCCGCGGUAAUACGGAGGGUGCAAGCGUUAAUCGGAAUUACUGGGCGUAAAGCGCACGCAGGCGGUUUGUUAAGUCAGAUGUGAAAUCCCCGGGCUCAACCUGGGAACUGCAUCUGAUACUGGCAAGCUUGAGUCUCGUAGAGGGGGUAGAAUUCCAGGUGUAGCGGUGAAAUGCGUAGAGAUCUGGAGGAAUACCGGUGGCGAAGGCGGCCCCCUGGACGAAGACUGACGCUCAGGUGCGAAAGCGUGGGGAGCAAACAGGAUUAGAUACCCUGGUAGUCCACGCCGUAAACGAUGUCGACUUGGAGGUUGUGCCCUUGAGGCGUGGCUUCCGGAGCUAACGCGUUAAGUCGACCGCCUGGGGAGUACGGCCGCAAGGUUAAAACUCAAAUGAAUUGACGGGGGCCCGCACAAGCGGUGGAGCAUGUGGUUUAAUUCGAUGCAACGCGAAGAACCUUACCUGGUCUUGACAUCCACGGAAGUUUUCAGAGAUGAGAAUGUGCCUUCGGGAACCGUGAGACAGGUGCUGCAUGGCUGUCGUCAGCUCGUGUUGUGAAAUGUUGGGUUAAGUCCCGCAACGAGCGCAACCCUUAUCCUUUGUUGCCAGCGGUCCGGCCGGGAACUCAAAGGAGACUGCCAGUGAUAAACUGGAGGAAGGUGGGGAUGACGUCAAGUCAUCAUGGCCCUUACGACCAGGGCUACACACGUGCUACAAUGGCGCAUACAAAGAGAAGCGACCUCGCGAGAGCAAGCGGAUCUCAUAAAGUGCGUCGUAGUCCGGAUUGGAGUCUGCAACUCGACUCCAUGAAGUCGGAAUCGCUAGUAAUCGUGGAUCAGAAUGCCACGGUGAAUACGUUCCCGGGCCUUGUACACACCGCCCGUCACACCAUGGGAGUGGGUUGCAAAAGAAGUAGGUAGCUUAACCUUCGGGAGGGCGCUUACCACUUUGUGAUUCAUGACUGGGGUGAAGUCGUAACAAGGUAACCGUAGGGGAACCUGCGGUUG